UCCUCCUCUCAUCUGUCGAUCUCCAUCUUCUCUUUCUCCCUUCCGUAGAUCUGUUCUUCUCUUUUCUCGUAUAAUUUCUGUAUCUCUUCUCCUCUGUUUUUUUUUCUCUCAAGAAUCAUAAGUUUUCUUCUCCGAUCCAUCAUCCUCUUUCAGAAUCGUGCCGAGUCGAAGGAACCAGGCCAUUUCGUAAAUGGCGAAUCCAGAGCAUGAAGAUGGGAUAUGUUUACAAGAGGCAAAGACUUGUCGGAGUGCCGGAGGAAGGCAUAGAGGCGUCGGCGGAUACGCACCGGAGUGAUGUCAGAAGGAGGACGGAGACGUGACCUGAGCCGUUCCAGAUAACCACAAUGGAAAGUGGAGGAUGCAGCAGAAGCUUAACGUUGGAGGAGGCAAGGCGUGGUCUCCGCAGCGAUGGUGCAAGGCGUGGUCUCCGCAGCGGUGGUUCAAGGUGGUCUGGUGGCAGUCACAGUUGUGGUGGUGCGGCGGAGAGAACAUGACCUUUAGGGUUGAUGGCGAGGAAGACAAUUUUUUUAGGUUUAGGGUGUUUAGAUUUGGUUUAGAAAUGCAAACCGAUUUUCAUUUGUAAACAGAUAUUUAUUUGUAAACCGAUUUCAAUUUAUAUAUUAUUAUGUCGAAGAUUUUAA